GUUGCAAACAAACAGCCGGCUUCGUGCUUUUUUAAAAGCGUUUAGUUUACUGUUGUUGGUAUUCCAAAAAAAAAAAAGGAAGACGCAUACUACAAACUCCUAUGUUUUAUUCAUGAAGCUGCCAAUUUAGCGGGGCUGCGCGGGGGCUCCCUCGACGCCUCUAAUUAGUUUCUCCCUACCUCCGUCUCGGUAGGACUCGCAGGGUGUGGGGAGACGCAGGGUGUGUGGUGUUGUGACCGCAGCCGGGCUCAGAGCGAGGUGACAACAGCACAGCUCGGCCCCUGCGCUGUAAGCGUGGGAUUCGGAGUUUUGUUUGUUCCAGGGAUGCUUUAAAUUAUCGCAGGCUUCUGCACCAGGCCGUUCCCACUGUGGUGGGCCUGUAUCCCGGGUCUGAAGGGCACACUGUACCGCCCUGCAGUUCUGCAAUCAGAGAAUGCUGGAGGCGUCCGCUACUGCCUGGAUCACCUCGAUGGGGACACGUUGGGGAAAAAACGUUGAAAUACUCGACUGGGGCAGCUAGGGGCCGACUGUGACCUCGACAAUUUCGAAAAACCGGACCCGCCCCACCACAGGCCCCUCUGCCACACCACAGGCCCCGUUAUCACACCACAUGCCCCGGUUCCUGGGCUGCAGCUGGAUGCUACUUCACCGUCGACGGCCCCGCUCCCCCUGGAUCCUCUAGCGGGGAGAGGGAGCUCCUAGCGGUGCGCUGCGGUACUACACUACCAGGAAGGCUUCCUGAGGAAGCAAAUGUCAACCACCACAAUAUCGGAUAGGGCCGUGUACUAUAUUAAUUGAUGCAAUUAAUGUUAGAACAGUACGAUUAUCUAUAGUCUACUUUAAUAUAGGCGUGUUUGAUGAUAUCAUUGAUUUGAUUCAUUAGCCUAAUAUUUUAUAAUCAUAUUUUAUUAUAUAUUUUUAUAGCAUCUCAACCAAUUCUGGGCAUCUCCUAC
ensembl:lncRNA